rnacentral:misc_RNA from 1 species
UCCGGUUUGUCACCGGCAGUCUCAUUAGAGUGCCCUUUCGUAGCAACUAAUGACAAGGGUUGCGCUCGUUGCGGGACUUAACCCAACAUCUCACGACACGAGCUGACGACAGCCAUGCAGCACCUGUGUAUCGGUUCUCUUUCGAGCACAUUCGCCUCUCAGCAAACUUCCGACCAUGUCAAGGGUAGGUAAGGUUCUUCGCGUAGCAUCGAAUUAAUCCACAUCAUCCACCGCUUGUGCGGGUCCCCGUCAAUUCCUUUGAGUUUUAAUCUUGCGACCGUACUCCCCAGGCGGUCGACUUCUCGCGUUAGCUACGUUACCAAGUCAAUUAAGACCCAACAACUAGUCGACAUCGUUUAGGGCGUGGACUAC